rnacentral:rRNA from 1 species
AGCGAACGCUGGCGGCAUGCCUAACACAUGCAAGUCGCACGGGGGGGCUUCGGCCUCCCAGUGGCGGACGGGUGAGGAACGCGUAGGGACCUGUCGAGGGGUGGGGGAUAACCGCGGGAAACUGCGGCUAAUACCGCAUGACGCCGCGGCGUGACAGCCGGGGCCAAAGGCGAAAGCCGCCCGCCGAGGGGCCUGCGUCCGAUUAGCUGGUUGGCGGGGUAGCGGCCCACCAAGGCGUCGAUCGGUAGCUGGUCUGAGAGGGUGAUCAGCCACACCGGGACUGAGACACGGCCCGGACUCCUACGGGAGGCAGCAGUGGGGAAUAUUGGACAAUGGGCGCAAGCCUGAUCCAGCAAUGCCGCGUGGGUGAAGAAGGUCUUCGGAUUGUAAAGCCCUUUCGGCGGGGACGAUGGUGACGGUACCCGCAGAAGAAGCCCCGUCUAACUUCGU